AUGCGUGAGGUGAUGUGAUGUGAUGUGAUACAUAUUGAGAUUUAUGCAUUUUGAUAUACAUGCGUAGGGAAACUUGUUUUCAAAUUUAAUUUUAGUAUAUUUUUAAUAAUUUCAAAUUUUCUAUGUGCAGGAAUAAAUAAAUAUUUCGAGAUUGAAUGGAAUGCAAGUGAAACGUGGGAAUUUUUUCUUCUAUUCUAUACGUAGUAUGUAUGUAUGUAUAGAGGAAACUUGGUUUUGAUUAGUGUAGUACAUUUUCCAAAUGGCGCAUGUACCGCUCAGCUGGAAAAUAUUCAUUUACUACGCGAAGUAAUCGAGAAUGCAGUUUUAUUUGUCGACUUUUUAUAGUAUUAACAAAGUGCUGGACACUAUCUUGGUGAUUCUAUAGCACCUGCCGUUGGACCCUCCUAAACUCGAGACAAUCGCUGAUGUCACAGACAACUGUAUUCCUUCAUUCUGUCAACAAAUAAAUUUUACCUUUUCUUUACUGCAUAUACUUAUUUUAAAGUAGUGUGAUUUUAUGUUUGGUUGAACAAGUACAUGGAGUUUAAUUACAAGUGCACGCUGGCCAUUAAAUAUAGACAGAGAAAAAAAACUUUCCAAUAAAAAAUGAAAUUUCACUAGUAAUAAUGGCUGUGAAGUUAUCACAUGUUUUCUGUAUGUAAUGAAAGAUGUAUGAUUUUUUGAUUUAAUGAACAAUAAUCAAAAGAGGACGGUAAAGACUGUGUAGCGAAAGCUUUAAGACUAAAAAGAAAAUCAUGGAGGUUGCACGAGAUGAAGACCGAACCAGACGUCUUCGAACUCUCGAAGAUCGUAUAAAAGAUCCUCGCAGUAAUGCAAAUAUUGAUUGUUUAUUAGAUACCGUGCAGGCUCUUGUAGCAGACUGUGAUCACCCUAGCGUAAAGCGGAUGAAAAACAUUGAGACAUUUAUGAACAGAUAUGACUCAGUUGCGCAGGAAAUUCAUAAAAUGCGAAUGCGAACAGAUGACUUCAAUUUGAUAAAAGUUAUUGGUCGUGGAGCAUUUGGUGAAGUGCAGUUGGUCAGACACAAGUCCACUCAAAAAGUUUUCGCUAUGAAGAUUCUCAGCAAAUUUGAAAUGAUAAAACGAUCUGAUUCGGCUUUCUUUUGGGAGGAAAGAGAUAUUAUGGCUCACGCAAAUUCUGAAUGGAUCGUUCAAUUACAUUUCGCCUUUCAAGAUCACAAAUAUCUUUAUAUGGUUAUGGAUUAUAUGCCAGGUGGUGAUUUAGUGAACAUGAUGUCUAAUUAUGAUGUGCCGGAAAAGUGGGCACAAUUCUACUGUGCGGAAGUGGUACUCGCGCUGGAUGCGAUACACAAUAUGGGAUUCGUUCAUAGAGAUGUCAAACCGGACAAUAUGCUUCUUGAUAAACAAGGCCAUUUAAAAUUAGCAGACUUUGGCACUUGCAUGCGAAUGGACGCUGACGGUUUGGUGCGCUCCGAUACUGCAGUAGGUACGCCCGAUUACAUAUCACCCGAAGUACUCCAAUCGCAAGGUGGAGAAGGUGUGUACGGUCGCGAAUGUGAUUGGUGGUCUGUUGGAGUAUUUCUUUAUGAAAUGUUAGUUGGCGACACUCCUUUCUAUGCGGACUCUUUGGUGGGAACUUACUCAAAAAUUAUGGAUCAUCGAAAUUCUCUUCAUUUUCACGCGGAUGUUGACAUAACUCCAGCAGCAAAGAGUCUAAUUUGUGGAUUUCUUACUGACAGAACGAGACGUUUAGGUAGCAAUGGAGUCGAUGAAAUUAAAAAUCACCUGUUUUUUAAAAAUGAUCAGUGGACUUUUGAGACUUUGAGAGAAAGUGUGCCACCAGUGGUACCAGAAUUAACAGGAGACGAUGACACUAGUAAUUUUGAUGACUUGGAAAAGGAAGACGGGCCAGAGGAAAGUUUUCCGAUUCCAAAAGCAUUUUCUGGAAAUCAUUUACCAUUUAUCGGAUUUACUUAUUCGGGAGAUUAUCAGUUAAUGGUUAAUAAUAGCAGGGAGUCUGUUGAUGGUCUUGAGAAUCAUGUCAAUAAUGGUAUCAGUGAUGAAGGAAGAUUAGCACAGUUGGAAAAUUUACUCGAACGAGAGAGACGACAGAUGGAAAGUUUAGAGAUAAGACAUCGAACUUUAACAGCUCAAUUAGAAGCAAUUACCGAGCGAGAAGCUCAACUUAGAGAGGAGGCAGGCAGGGCUGAUAAGGAAUUGGCUCUUUUGAGACAUAGUCAUAAAGAAGCCCAACGGCGAAUUGAGCAGGAAACUGAUGUUCGUAGGAAAGCAGAGUCGUUACUUCUGGAGCUGAAAAAAAAAUUCGACGAGGAGCAAACGAGGAGAGUGAGGGAUGCAAGCAAUUCACAGCAAACAUCUGAACGCAUCACUAGCUUGGAAAAACAGAUAAAAGAGAUGCAGGCUAAACUUGAAAGAGAAACUGAAACUGUCAGCAGACUGCGAAAACAGUCAACAGAAGUGACUGUUGCUCGACAGGCAGCAGAACAAAUGGCUAAUGAAUUGCAAAUGGCAAGAAAUCAAUUACAAGCUCAAAGGGAUUCUUUGCAACAAGAGGUUGCAGCUUUACAGGGUCAAUUAUCAAAAGAAAGAAGUUCCCGAUCACAAGCAUCUUCUUUUACUGCAGAACUGGAAACGAAACUUUCUGCCUUGCAUCAAGAACUAGAGCAUAGUCGUGAAAGAGAAGGAAAAGCUACUUUGGACAACAGACAACUAAAUGAAAGAAUUUCAGAAUUAGAAAAGGAGGCGGCUACCUUAACUCUUGAAUUGAAAGCAGCACAAGCUAGAUAUGACCAAGAAGUUGUAGCUCAUCAGGAGACAGAAAGGUCGAGAAUGCUCUCAAAAGAAGAAGCGAACCUCGAAGUUGUUAAAGCUUUACAAGUAAAGUUAAAUGAAGAAAAGUGCGGUAGGCAACGAGCAGAAUCACUCGCUCAAGAGAAAGAACGACAAACUUCUAUGUUAUCCGUGGAUUACCGGCAAAUUCAGCAACGUUUACAGAAACUUGAAGGCGAACAUCGUCAAGAAGUCGAAAAGGUCAAAGUACUGCAAGGACAAGCAGAUCAGGAACAGCAAAAGAGGAAUAAUUUGCAAACAGAACUGGCUCAACAAUCUUCCGAAGCUGGACGAUUACGAGCUCGAGAACAACAGUUAAUGGAUGAGGUUGCGCAGUUAAGAGAAUCAAAACGGCAAAUUGAAGAAGAAUUACACCAUUUAAAAACCCAAAGAAACGUCGAUCAACUUCAAAUGAAAGAACUUCAAGAACAACUAGAAGCUGAGGCAUAUUUUUCGACUUUAUAUAAAACGCAGACACAAGAGCUCCGUGAAGAGCUUGAUGAUAAAACUAGAUCACAUCAAGAACUAGAGGAAGAACGAAAUUCGUUUUGUCAUCAGCUUGAACUUGCCCUUGCCAGGGGAGAUGCUGAAGCACUAGCAAGAUCUAUUGCUGAAGAGACAGUGGCUGAUUUAGAAAAGGAAAGAACUAUGAAAGAAUUAGAAUUUAAAGACAGUAUAGCUAAACAUCAUCAAGAAUUAAAUUCCAAGGAGCAAGUUGUCAAUAGAUUAAAGGAUAGCGAAUUAGAAAUGAAGAAAACAGUGGAACAAUAUUUAAAGGAGAAGGAAGAAUUAAAUAAACGUUUCAAAGAAAUUCAGGACCAACUCAACAAAGAGCAAUCAAAUGUCGAUGAAAUAGAAAGACUGAGCAGCAAACUGAAAACAGAGCAGCUUCUCAAAUUGCAAGCUGUAAAUAAAUUGGCAGAAAUAGUGAAUAGAAAAGAUUUGUCAAUUGGUGGAAAGUCGAAAAAUAAAGCAUCUUCCGCAGAUUUAAGGAAAAAAGAAAAGGAAUGUCGAAGGCUUCAACAGGAACUUACACAGGAAAGAGAAAAGUAUGGCCAAUUGGCUGCGAAAUGGCAAAAAGAUCUCCAGGACUUGCAGGCCCAACUUGUCGAAGAGAAUCAAUCCAAAUUGAAACUUCAAAUGGAACUUGACUCGAAAGACUCUGAAAUAGAAACACUUCAAAUGAAAAUAACAUCUAUUAAUUCAGAGACGGCCAGUGUUUCCUCUGUUGAAAAUGACGGAGAAGACUCCGUUUUGUCUGAGCAUGGUGCCAUGAGAUUAGAGGGCUGGUUGAAUGUUCCCAAUAAGCAAAAUAUUAAGAGACACGGUUGGAAAAAACAAUACGUCGUUGUAUCAUCCAAGAAAAUUAUUUUUUAUAAUAGUGAAAGCGAUAAAAUUAAUGCUGAUCCUGUUUUAAUAUUGGACUUGAGUAAAGUUUUUCACGUGAGAUCUGUUACUCAAGAAGACGUGAUUCGAGCAGAUGCCAAAGAUAUUCCUAGGAUAUUUCAGUUGUUGUAUGCUGGCGAAGGUGAAGCAAGACGCCCUGGUGACGAAGGUAAUGCUUUGCCAGGAGUGGAACUUCCUCAGUUGACUGACAAAUCAAUUCCUCAACCACUUAAAGGCCAUGAAUUUAUUUCUAUCUCCUACCACAUGCCAACCACUUGUGAAGUAUGUUCAAAGCAGUUGUGGCAUAUGUUUCGUCCACCACCUGCUCUUGAAUGUAGAAGGUGUCAUAUAAAGGUCCAUAAGGAGCAUUUAGAUAAAAAAGAAAACGCCAUAGCCCCAUGCAAAUUACACUAUGAUCCUAAUAGCGCCCGAGAAUUGCUCGUUCUCGCGGGAAGUCCUGAUGAUCAGAAAUAUUGGGUAACACGAUUAUCGAGGAGAAUUCAAAAGUAUGGAUACAAAGCAAAUUCACAUAUGGAUGGAGCAGGACAACGAGUUUCGCCAAGGUAGCGUAGCAGAGCAGCUCAACUGGGAACUAAAUUGCUCUUUUCUGUUGUGUCACCGCAUGAUUGGGUGUAGAGAGAGAAUCGACGAGGUCAACGCUCAAGCCUUAUUUGUCAGUUCAACAAAGGUCUGCUACAUUACCUGCGAAUGCGAGUAUGGGCAAGUGACUGCCAUUAAUUCGAUGACAUUUUUUAACGUCAUUACUAAUAUGUCAAUUAAAAUAUAAACUUUUGUUUAUUGACCACACAAUGCCCAAUCAAAUCAGAUAAUCGUAACUUAUCUGCUACUGUGCCACGUAUGUGAUUUUUCACUUGAGAAUUAUUGCAAAACUUGUAAAAAUGUAAUCUUUUCCAUAAUAUUUUUAUACAUUUCAUACCGUUUACUAAAUAAUUUUUAUGGCUGAAAGUAGUCUUGUAUUUUUGUCAUAAUUAUAUUUUUUCAUCAAGACAAAUACACUUGAGCUCAUGUUUGCAUAAA